rnacentral:rRNA from 1 species
CGGGAGGCAGCAGUAGGGAAUCUUCCGCAAUGGGCGAAAGCCUGACGGAGCAACGCCGCGUGAGUGAUGAAGGUCUUCGGAUCGUAAAACUCUGUUAUUAGGGAAGAACAAAUGUGUAAGUAACUAUGCACGUCUUGACGGUACCUAAUCAGAAAGCCACGGCUAACUACGUGCCAGCAGCCGCGGUAAUACGUAGGUGGCAAGCGUUAUCCGGAAUUAUUGGGCGUAAAGCGCGCGUAGGCGGUUUCUUAAGUCUGAUGUGAAAGCCCACGGCUCAACCGUGGAGGGUCAUUGGAAACUGGGAAACUUGAGUGCAGAAGAGGAAAGUGGAAUUCCAUGUGUAGCGGUGAAAUGCGCAGAGAUAUGGAGGAACACCAGUGGCGAAGGCGACUUUCUGGUCUGUAACUGACGCU